UAUAUAUAACUGUUGAUACUUUCAUAUAUUUUUAAUGCACUUGAAAGGUUACUUCAAGUAUUUACUGAUUGAUGUCUGAUACACUCGAGUAUUUAAAAUGUUUACUUGUGUUUAUUGUUUGGUGUAUGAUAACUUAACUUGUCGAUGUUGAGGUUGAAUUUGAGGAAGAAGAAGAAGAGGAAAGGGGUAUGAAUUAAGGUGAAAGAGAUGAAGAAAUCAUGAAGGGAUAGACAGCCAUGGCAGAAGCUCGGUGUUCACAGACAUCUUCUGGUUUUUGCAUCAGUUUGAACUCCUAAAAAAGAAUUAAAAGAGUGCUUUUUCAUGAACCAAUGCUUGUUGAGAACUAAAUCUAGAAGUUUGUGUGGGAUCAUUAUCCAAUUCUCGUACUCAGAGUUGGAAAAUGCAACAGAAAAGUUUUCGAGCUCCCAUCUUGUUGGGCGUGGGGGAAGUAGCUUUGUCUAUCGUGGUGAAUUGAGGGAUGGUAGAAUAGUGGCAGUAAAGCGGCUCAAUAUUCAAGGAGGACCAGAUGUAGACUACUUGUUCUUAACAGAAGUAUCAGUUCCACCGAUCCCUUUAUCAUCAGUUGACACAUUUUUCCUAAUAUCUCUGGCAGAAUAAUAUUGUUAUCUUAUUUUCUUCCAUAUUUUGUCGUUCAAAUACAAUUGUUAUCAAGUCUGAAUCAUUGUCACGUGGUGCCUCUACUUGGUUACUGCACAGAGUCAUUAGAUACAUGCGCGAAACCGUGAGCAAGGACACAAGCAUUAUUACUGAUGCGAUUGAUACAAGAAACUCGUACUCACAGCUUGAAUUGGAUGAAGUACGAGUGGAGUGGGCUGAAUUUUUAUCCCGGUACAUAUGAUAGAUACACCUAGAUAUGAUCUUCUUCUUAAUUUUGUAAAUGGCUAACAUAGGAGAAUGCCCAUAACAUUUUUUGUGUAAACGUUUUGUUCAUAGCCAUUAUACUUAUAGAUGAUGUAAUAGAUGCAAAGGGAUAGAGACUUUAG